UCAUGGCUCAGGACGAACGCUGGCGGCAUGCCUAACACAUGCAAGUCGAACGGAGUUAAGAGAGCUUGCUUUCUUAACUUAGUGGCGGACGGGUGAGUAACGCGUGAGCAAUCUGCCUCUUAGUGGGGAAUAAUGUUCUGAAAAGAGCACUAAUACCGCAUAAUGUACAGUAGUCGCAUGGCAAUUGUACCAAAGAUUUAUCGCUGAGAGAUGAGCUCGCGUCCGAUUAGCCGGUUGGUGGGGUAACGGCCUACCAAAGCUACGAUCGGUAGCCGGACUGAGAGGUUGAACGGCCACAUUGGGACUGAGACACGGCCCAGACUCCUACGGGAGGCAGCAGUGGGGGAUAUUGCGCAAUGGGGGAAACCCUGACGCCAGCAAUGCCGCGUGAAGGAUGAAGGUCUUCGGAUUGUAAACUUCUUUUGUCAGGGACGAAAUUGACGGUACCUGACGAAUAAGCUCCGGCUAACUACGUGCCAGCAGCGGC
rnacentral:rRNA from 1 species